UGAGGAAUAUUGGUCAAUGGGCGAGAGCCUGAACCAGCCAAGUAGCGUGCAGGAUGACGGCCCUAUGGGUUGUAAACUGCUUUUGUAUGGGGAUAAAGUCAAUCACGUGUGAUUGUUUGCAGGUACCAUACGAAUAAGGACCGGCUAAUUCCGUGCCAGCAGCCGCGGUAAUACGGAAGGUCCGGGCGUUAUCCGGAUUUAUUGGGUUUAAAGGGAGCGUAGGCUGGAGAUUAAGUGUGUUGUGAAAUGUAGACGCUCAACGUCUGACUUGCAGCGCAUACUGGUUUCCUUGAGUACGCACAACGUUGGCGGAAUUCGUCGUGUAGCGGUGAAAUGCUUAGAUAUGACGAAGAACUCCGAUUGCGAAGGCAGCUGACGGGAGCGCAACUGACGCUGAAGCUCGAAGGUGCGGGUAUCGAACAGGAUUAGAUACCCUGGUAGUCCGCACAGUAAACGAUGGAUGCCCGCUGUUGGUACUUGGUAUCAGCGGCUAAGCGAAAGCAUUAAGCAUCCCACCUGGGGAGUACGCCGGNNCGGU
rnacentral:rRNA from 1 species